AACGCGAAGAACCUUACCUGGUCUUGACAUCCACAGAACUUUCCAGAGAUGGAUUGGUGCCUUCGGGAACUGUGAGACAGGUGCUGCAUGGCUGUCGUCAGCUCGUGUUGUGAAAUGUUGGGUUAAGUCCCGCAACGAGCGCAACCCUUAUCCUUUGUUGCCAGCGGUUAGGCCGGGAACUCAAAGGAGACUGCCAGUGAUAAACUGGAGGAAGGUGGGGAUGACGUCAAGUCAUCAUGGCCCUUACGACCAGGGCUACACACGUGCUACAAUGGCAUAUACAAAGAGAAGCGACCUCGCGAGAGCAAGCGGACCUCAUAAAGUAUGUCGUAGUCCGGAUUGGAGUCUGCAACUCGACUCCAUGAAGUCGGAAUCGCUAGUAAUCGUGGAUCAGAAUGCCACGGUGAAUACGUUCCCGGGUCUUGUACACACCG
rnacentral:rRNA from 2 species